UUAAGCGACUAAGCGUACACGGUGGAUGCCCUGGCAGUCAGAGGCGAUGAAGGACGUGCUAAUCUGCGAUAAGCGUCGGUAAGGUGAUAUGAACCGUUAUAACCGGCGAUUUCCGAAUGGGGAAACCCAGUGUGAUUCGUCACACUAUCAUUAACUGAAUCCAUAGGUUAAUGAGGCGAACCGGGGGAACUGAAACAUCUAAGUACCCCGAGGAAAAGAAAUCAACCGAGAUUCCCCCAGUAGCGGCGAGCGAACGGGGAGCAGCCCAGAGCCUGAAUCAGUGUGUGUGUUAGUGGAAGCGUCUGGAAAGGCGCGCGAUACAGGGUGACAGCCCCGUACACAAAAAUGCACAUGCUGUGAGCUCGAUGAGUAGGGCGGGACACGUGGUAUCCUGUCUGAAUAUGGGGGGACCAUCCUCCAAGGCUAAAUACUCCUGACUGACCGAUAGUGAACCAGUACCGUGAGGGAAAGGCGAAAAGAACCCCGGCGAGGGGAGUGAAAAAGAACCUGAAACCGUGUACGUACAAGCAGUGGGAGCACGCUUAGGCGUGUGACUGCGUACCUUUUGUAUAAUGGGUCAGCGACUUAUAUUCUGUAGCAAGGUUAACCGAAUAGGGGAGCCGAAGGGAAACCGAGUCUUAACUGGGCGUUAAGUUGCAGGGUAUAGACCCGAAACCCGGUGAUCUAGCCAUGGGCAGGUUGAAGGUUGGGUAACACUAACUGGAGGACCGAACCGACUAAUGUUGAAAAAUUAGCGGAUGACUUGUGGCUGGGGGUGAAAGGCCAAUCAAACCGGGAGAUAGCUGGUUCUCCCCGAAAGCUAUUUAGGUAGCGCCUCGUGAAUUCAUCUCCGGGGGUAGAGCACUGUUUCGGCAAGGGGGUCAUCCCGACUUACCAACCCGAUGCAAACUGCGAAUACCGGAGAAUGUUAUCACGGGAGACACACGGCGGGUGCUAACGUCCGUCGUGAAGAGGGAAACAACCCAGACCGCCAGCUAAGGUCCCAAAGUCAUGGUUAAGUGGGAAACGAUGUGGGAAGGCCCAGACAGCCAGGAUGUUGGCUUAGAAGCAGCCAUCAUUUAAAGAAAGCGUAAUAGCUCACUGGUCGAGUCGGCCUGCGCGGAAGAUGUAACGGGGCUAAACCAUGCACCGAAGCUGCGGCAGCGACGCUUAUGCGUUGUUGGGUAGGGGAGCGUUCUGUAAGCCUGCGAAGGUGUGCUGUGAGGCAUGCUGGAGGUAUCAGAAGUGCGAAUGCUGACAUAAGUAACGAUAAAGCGGGUGAAAAGCCCGCUCGCCGGAAGACCAAGGGUUCCUGUCCAACGUUAAUCGGGGCAGGGUGAGUCGACCCCUAAGGCGAGGCCGAAAGGCGUAGUCGAUGGGAAACAGGUUAAUAUUCCUGUACUUGGUGUUACUGCGAAGGGGGGACGGAGAAGGCUAUGUUGGCCGGGCGACGGUUGUCCCGGUUUAAGCGUGUAGGCUGAUUUUCCAGGCAAAUCCGGAAAAUCAAGGCUGAGGCGUGAUGACGAGGCACUACGGUGCUGAAGCAACAAAUGCCCUGCUUCCAGGAAAAGCCUCUAAGCAUCAGGUAACAUCAAAUCGUACCCCAAACCGACACAGGUGGUCAGGUAGAGAAUACCAAGGCGCUUGAGAGAACUCGGGUGAAGGAACUAGGCAAAAUGGUGCCGUAACUUCGGGAGAAGGCACGCUGAUAUGUAGGUGAAGCGACUUGCUCGUGGAGCUGAAAUCAGUCGAAGAUACCAGCUGGCUGCAACUGUUUAUUAAAAACACAGCACUGUGCAAACACGAAAGUGGACGUAUACGGUGUGACGCCUGCCCGGUGCCGGAAGGUUAAUUGAUGGGGUCAGCGCAAGCGAAGCUCUUGAUCGAAGCCCCGGUAAACGGCGGCCGUAACUAUAACGGUCCUAAGGUAGCGAAAUUCCUUGUCGGGUAAGUUCCGACCUGCACGAAUGGCGUAAUGAUGGCCAGGCUGUCUCCACCCGAGACUCAGUGAAAUUGAACUCGCUGUGAAGAUGCAGUGUACCCGCGGCAAGACGGAAAGACCCCGUGAACCUUUACUAUAGCUUGACACUGAACAUUGAGCCUUGAUGUGUAGGAUAGGUGGGAGGCUUUGAAGUGUGGACGCCAGUCUGCAUGGAGCCGACCUUGAAAUACCACCCUUUAAUGUUUGAUGUUCUAACGUUGACCCGUAAUCCGGGUUGCGGACAGUGUCUGGUGGGUAGUUUGACUGGGGCGGUCUCCUCCUAAAGAGUAACGGAGGAGCACGAAGGUUGGCUAAUCCUGGUCGGACAUCAGGAGGUUAGUGCAAUGGCAUAAGCCAGCUUGACUGCGAGCGUGACGGCGCGAGCAGGUGCGAAAGCAGGUCAUAGUGAUCCGGUGGUUCUGAAUGGAAGGGCCAUCGCUCAACGGAUAAAAGGUACUCCGGGGAUAACAGGCUGAUACCGCCCAAGAGUUCAUAUCGACGGCGGUGUUUGGCACCUCGAUGUCGGCUCAUCACAUCCUGGGGCUGAAGUAGGUCCCAAGGGUAUGGCUGUUCGCCAUUUAAAGUGGUACGCGAGCUGGGUUUAGAACGUCGUGAGACAGUUCGGUCCCUAUCUGCCGUGGGCGCUGGAGAACUGAGGGGGGCUGCUCCUAGUACGAGAGGACCGGAGUGGACGCAUCACUGGUGUUCGGGUUGUCAUGCCAAUGGCACUGCCCGGUAGCUAAAUGCGGAAGAGAUAAGUGCUGAAAGCAUCUAAGCACGAAACUUGCCCCGAGAUGAGUUCUCCCUGACUCCUUGAGAGUCCUGAAGGAACGUUGAAGACGACGACGUUGAUAGGCCGGGUGUGUAAGCGCAGCGAUGCGUUGAGCUAACCGGUACUAAUGAACCGUGAGGCUUAACCUU
rnacentral:rRNA from 1 species